rnacentral:rRNA from 1 species
UACGUAGGGUGCAAGCGUUAAUCGGAAUUACUGGGCGUAAAGCGUGCGCAGGCGGCCUUUUAAGUCUGAUGUGAAAGCCCACGGCUCAACCGUGGAAGGUCAUUGGAAACUGAAAGGCUUGAGUACAGAAGAGGAAAGCGGAAUUCCACGUGUAGCGGUGAAAUGCGUAGAGAUGUGGAGGAACACCAGUGGCGAAGGCGGCUUUCUGGUCUGUAACUGACGCUGAGGCGCGAAAGCGUGGGGAGCAAACAGG